GACUAAUUAAAUAGUGUAUUCAAGGAGUUAGCUAGCCUCACUCACGGGCCUCACAUUUAUAAAUAGGACCUUUAGCUCUCUUAUUUCCUCACACCAAAUUAAUCCUCAUCGAUCAACAAAACCAAUUCUUCAAGUUCUUCUAUUUUCUGCUAUUAAUUAAAUUUAUAAUGGGGGUGGUGAAGACACAUGUUGAGGCUUUUUCUCCGGUUCCAGCACAUAAAAUGUUCAAGGGUUUUUUCCUGAGUCUUUUAACUAUCGUCCCUCAACUUUUGCCACAGUACUUUAAGAGUGUCGAAAUCCUUUCUGGAGAUGGUGGAGUUGGAUCCGUCUUCACAGUCAAACUUGCUGAACGUACGUAUAUACGUUGAUUAACUUUUAGUUAGUUUUCUUUCUAUAAUUAUACGUACGUACAUGCAUGCAUAUAUAUUGUAUGUAUUUAGCAACUAAUUUGUACCUUAAUUCUUUGACAAAUAUUAUAAUUAAAUUGGCAACCACAACCAACGUGGCAUGCAAAGGCAUUUCAUAUCAUAACUGGCGAUGUAUAUAUGUUUUUUUUUUCUUCUGAUACAUAUAUAUGCAAUUAAUUUAUACACAUGUUUAAUUUCUCUUGAUCGAAUACAUGCAUGCAGUGGGCAAUGUUACGAGCAUGACACAAGUGGUGGACAUAGUUGACAAAGAGAACAUGAUAUUCCAGUACACCAUAAUUGAUGGUGAUAUUCGAUUGGGAAUACUCGACACUGUCAUUUGUCAUUUUGAAGUUCAUCCUACCCAUGGAGGGUGCAUAGUGACGAAAUCUGUCGCAUAUAUCCCCAAGAACUAUUCAGACGAGAUUCCGAAAUGGGGGGUUGAGCAGUCCGAUAUGAUAUCACUUUUGAUUCUCAGGUCCGUUGAAUCCCACAUCCUUGCAAAUCCGAAAAAGUACUGAGAACAAGUAUCAAUCAUUUUUUAAUUUGGUCAUGGGUUUAAGUACGGGGUCAAAUUAAUAAAUUAAAGCUGCCUUAAUCUGUUUUAAUAAUAAGUCCAGUACUGUAUACUGUGACGGCUCAAGUUUCUGGGCAAAUAAUUUGUAGGUUUUGUAUUUGUAUUGCAUUAUAUAUAUGCAUGAAGUGGUUGAUGCCCACAAGUACUGUAUUGUGUUUAAUUGUUAAAGUUUGAGCAUCAAUAUGUAUGCAUGUAUGUUAAUUUAUGUUAAAACAUGUGACGAAGUUUCGAAGAGAAAAUUAAUGUACCUUCUUUCUUGCUUUGAUGCAUGAUUCUUGAUUUCAUGCAUGAUUCUCAUUUGUAUGUAUUAUCAAGCUUUUAACGUAACAUUUGAUCAUAUAGAUUUAUAUAUAUAUAUAUAUAUAGCUCGGCUCUCUCCAGCGAACUGAAGGGAGCGAAUUAAGAGCGAAUUAGCUAUAACGACGAUUUUUUUCAUCGUUAUAACAUAAAAAACUGUGUUUCUAUGCUAUAGCGACGGAAGAAACCGUCGUUAUAGCCGGUUCAUUCUUAGUUCGCUCCUUUCAGUUCGCUGGAGAAGCGGACUGUAUAUAUAUAAUCCUUUUUUAUAUAUCAUUUAUAUAAAAUAAAUAAAAAUGAAAAAAAUUAUUGAUGGAGAAAUUAAGAUUGUCAAGUAGGAUUUAUAUAAAACCUUGAGUGCCAAACUAGUUUUCCAAGUUGUGUAUUGUAAAAGAUAUUGCCCAGUCAACUUGGAGAUUUGGAGAGGGGAUGCAUCAAAACACGUACACAGGUACCUCUCUCUAAUCUCUAUACGGCCAAUGCCCUAUAAAUAUGGGUGUUAGAAUUUUGGAGAAAAAAAUAUUUAGAUAUAUAUUCAGAUAUAUUGAGAUAGAUUUAGAUAUAUUGAGAAUUUGAGAUACAUUCACAUAUAUAUAUAUAUAUAUAUAUAUAUAUAUAUAUAUAUAUAUAUAUAUAUAUAUAUAUAUAUAUAUAUAUAUAUAUAUAUNNNNNNNNNNNNNNNNNNNNNNNNNNNNNNNNNNNNNNNNNNNNNNNNNNNNNNNNNNNNNNNNNNNNNNNNNNNNNNNNNNNNNNNNNNNNNNNNNNNNCUCAGAAAUAUUUUAAGAAUUUUCAUAAUUUUUUUUUUAUCUUGUAAUAUUCAGAUAUUUAUUUAGUGAAUUUCUUCUUUUUUCUCCCUGGUCUUUUUCAAUUUGAGUUUCCACAUUAAAUCUUGUGUUAUUGUCUUUAUUUUUCUGCGUUGAUUUAUUGUGUUUGCCAUAAUUUGUCAUACCAAUAGGUAGCUAGGACAUAUGUAUAUCUAUAUACAUAACGGAUCUAAAUCACUCUUCUUAAAUAUUAAAUAACACUCUUUUAUUAAAAUUAUAUCGUUUUGGAGAUUCUUUUAAAAUAGAAAAUAAUAUUAAAAUAGAGUGUUCUUACUUGUAUUUUAAAAGAAUCUUCAAAACAACGUAAUUUUAAUAAAAUAGUGCUAUUUAAGAUGAGUGUUAUUUAAGAGAAGUGUUUUAGAUCCGUCCUCUAUCUAUAUAUCUAUAUAUCUAUAUAUUUAUAUAUUUUAUUAACUAGCUUAAUAAUAUAGUUGGUCUGUACAAUCCUGUUUUUAAUAUAUAUUUAAAUUAUACCUAAAUUAUUGAAUUUUGUAAAAUUUUCAAUUUUAAUAAAUUUUUUGAGAGUCAAUAAAAAAAAUUAGACUGGUCACUAAACCGGUUAGCACUUCCCAAUCCCCCUAGAUUUAUUCUUAUACAUAUAUAGGUAUAUAAUUGGUGAGCUAGGGGGAAAGAAAAAGAAAGAAAUAUGCACAGCUGUAUAUAUAUACCAAUUAGCUUGAUAAUUGAGCAAGGGGGAUAUACGAUCAUGCAUUGGAAUCAGGGGCGGAUCCAGCUUAUUAGUUCAGUGGUGUCAAUUUUUUAAAAUAAAAAUUUAUAAAAAAAAAUAAAGACGCCAGAAUGUGAGAAAUAUUUCAAAUAAUUGUGUGAGCUAUCAUAUAAAAUUGAUAUUGUUUUAUGUAAUUGAAUACAUUUCGAAUCCUCAAUUUUAUGUUAUAUAUAAAAUAAUAUUUUAUAAUUUUUUAAAACACUGUUAUUAUAAGAGACAUUUUUUGUAUCCUUUAAAAUAAAUUACAAAACUAAAUAAUAUUGUUAAAAUAUUAUUUAUAAUAACAUUUUUCGAUAUUUCAUUGUUUGAAACUAUCGUAAUGAUAGUCUCAUUUCAAUAGCUGCAAAAAUAUCAUUUUCAAUGUAAGUUACUAAAUAAUAUAAAAGAGUGGAUUAUUUGUGUUAGUAGAAAUUUGAGAUAUUUAAUAGUUUUUUAAUCUAAAUUUUUAUUUUCACUAAACACUAUAAAAUCAAAAUCAAAUUGAAAAUUGACUCCCAAAAAUUGAGUGGGGUCAAUUGACCCCACUGCCCUAAGGUAGAUCCGCCCAUGUUUGGAAUUGAAUUUGGAGCAGAACUUUUCUUGGUUUUAAAUUCGGAUCAGUUGAGAUGUAUAAGGGCAUGGUUUUGUAUAUGUUUUGUAUAUGCAUGUUGUUUUAAUGCUUCCGAUGGUUUGUUUUCUCAUAGGGUAGGUUUAGAUCUCAGCUAAAUUUUUUCAAUAGCGGUGGUGACAGGAGACUAUAUUCAUAUUGGCGCUGUUAAUUUAAUAUUUUAAAUAAAUAAUGAGCAUGUAACUUAUAAAUUAAUAAUAAAAAAUAACUUAUAAAUUAGUUUAACUAACUUAUAAAUUAUUUCCGAACAUGGCUUACGUGGUACGGUUGGACAUUUGAAUAUAGGGAAUGUCGUUGGAUUGCAAAAUUAAGAUUAAUAUAUAAAAUUGUAGCAUGAAUUUAUUAUUUUAAUUUGUGAAAUAUGUCAUUUGAUUUUACAACAAUAUAACAAGCCCUUAUUUGUGACGUAUUGUACAAAAUAUUUUAAAAUUAAAUAUUUUGGAUUAAUUUUUGACAACUAAUAUUAUAUCGUACAAUAUUGUAUAGUAAUUGUAUUUUAGAGAGAGAUUUAUUAUUUUAAUUAACCAACUUCAAUGACGAAAAGAAUUAAAAAAACAUGGGAAUUCAAUUACGUGUAAUAUAUGUUCUUUUUUGGUGUGGUCAAUUGUAAUUGAGUGCAUUGCUUAUCGGUUUUUUGAGUUAUAUAUAUAUAUAUAUAUAUAUGUGGUAUAUAUAUAUGUGGGAUAUAUGUAGUACACAGUCGUUUAUGACGACGAGUGAACUGUCGUCAUAGACCAAAAUAACUAUAGCGAGACUGUGUACUACGCAACUGUAUAUAUAUAUUUUUUCAUAUAUAUAUAUAUAUAUAUAUAUAUAUAUAUAUAUAUAUAUNNNNNNNNNNNNNNNNNNNNNNNNNNNNNNNNNNNNNNNNNNNNNNNNNNNNNNNNNNNNNNNNNNNNNNNNNNNNNNNNNNNNNNNNNNNNNNNNNNNNAUUUAGAUCCGAUAGUUAUCAACUAAUUAAAUAGUGUAUUGAAGGAGCUAGCUAGCCUCACUCACGGGCCUCACAUUUAUAAAUAGGACCUUUAGCUCUCUUAUUUCCUCACACCAAAUUAAUCCUCAUCAACAAAACCGAUCCUUCAAGUUCUUCCUUUUUCUGCUAUUAAAUUUAUAAUGGGGGUGGUGAAGACACAUGUUGAGGCUUUUUCUCCGGUUCAAGCACAUAAAAUGUUCA
rnacentral:lncRNA from 1 species